rnacentral:sRNA from 1 species
AGGCAUUUCUAGCUCCUGUUUAGCUAGUGAUUGCUUAGAGGCCCCGUUGUGUUUCAGCACAGCGGGGUCUCGUU